AUUUUUUUUCCUACAACAGUUAUAGUUAGUGUGGUAGACUGAAUAAACAUGACCUUUGGACUCAAAUCAGACCAAUAGGUAGUAGUAUCCCAGACAAACUCGUAACCCUCUGAGGCUCUCCUCCCUAAUUCUAAAAAUUAUGCAUUACCCAAAGCAUCUUGCAAGGUAUUAUGAGGAAUAGCAGAAAUGGCAAAUGUAAACCAUAGAUCCUGGCAGUUAGUAUACACUUGUCACAGUCAAGUUCCCUGGAAAAGCAGAUGCUAAGAUUGGGAACAGAAUGCAAGAUGUUUAUUAAGGAAUGCCAUUGGGAUUAAUACUCAUAGAAGGAAAAGAAAGCAAGCAGGAUUGGGCAGAGGGAGAAAUUAAACAGCAAUGUGAGCCUAACAGCAGUCGCAGCCUACCUCCAAGGACAGCUCUAGCACUACAAUGGCUUUCAGGGCUCUCUGAGUUUGGCCAGGGAUAUCCAGGCCUUAGGAACCCCACACUUAUUAAAUAUUAGAUAGAUACCAUCCAGGAAGGGGCAUGAACUUGAGCAAGGUGGAAGAAAUCCCUACAGGUGCUGACAGGUUCUCCUGAACCUCCAGGAGUCAGACUGAAGGAGCAUUUGGAGGACACAUUUAUGUGUCCACCACACCCUACCCCUCUCACCAAUGCUUCAUACGUAUUCAAGGAGUAACAUUCCAGGAUUCCAGUGGCCUCUCUCUUCCUAGGAAAAAUCCAGAAAAGAAAGAUUCUCCUUUCCCCAGUUACUCCCUGAUUCAGUGACCUGGAUCCACAUCCCUGAGUUCCUGACCACAGUACCUCUUUCAGGAUGCACUUGCUCAUUUACAACAAAUAUUGGACAAAGAAAUGUCAAGACGCACCCAAAGAUCAACCAAGUGAUUUGAGGAAUAUGUACAAUACUCUGCAGACUAUUACUCAACUGGAACUUCCGGGGAUUUUUAUCACAACUCAACUUGGAUAAUUUGCUUUGGGGAAGAAGAUCACAGAGGUUGAAGUCCAGUCACAUCACAUUUUGUUAAAGAUUGCAUCUUAUCAACAUGACUUAUCACUAUUGCUCUUAACUUCAAUGACCUACCUAGCUGGAGAAAUCAUCAGAGAUGAUUUCUCUGAUGUGAGUUCCUCUUUUUGUCCUCUUUUCAAACUCUAUCUCCUUGAGAGUAGCAUAGCUGCAUAAAUGAUUCAGAAUUUUUCUUCAUGAGACAUUUCUGUCUUAUUUAUUAAUUUAUUCAAUAUUUAUUGUUAUCAUUAUAUACUAGUGGAUAUUAAUUUUGUUGCUCAGCUCAUUCUAGCUCUGAUCAUUUGGAUCCAUUUGGACAUCCCCCAUCACCGUGGGGUUUUGUUUGUUUCUUUGGGCACUUUCUAUAUUUUAGGUACUAGAGAUGCUUUGGGUAGUUUUGCCUAGUCUUAACAUCAUCCAUCUCUCCUAAGAGCCCUGAUUCCUUUGAUUGGAGAAUAAUACUAGAAACCAACAUUAAGUGGUAGCUGUGCUUGUAAUAAUCAGAGUGCUGUUGCCUCUAGGUUUUCUUAGCUAAUAGAUAAAAGGCAUAUAUACAUGUAAUUUGUGAGUAUAUAAAUAUCUAUAAAUAUCUUUUUAUAUAACCCAUCUGUUUCUAUAUUAAGCCAAACAUGAGUUCAUACUGAUGUCUCUUAAAUCCAAUCUGCUAUGACUUGGAACAAUCUAGCUUUCUUACUUUUCUAUAACUUUUCUUUAAAAUAAUGAGAAAUCUGACUCCACCAUCCAUUUACUCUAAUUCUCAAGUUCCAGCAUCCAUGUAUUCUGGUUUCAGAAUUGUUAGCCCAUAUCCUCGGAAAAACAACAAGAUUACAGUGUUUAUGAACAGUAGUCUUACAGACACCACUCAUUUCAAAGUGUCUUAGGUAAACACCUUAUUUCUCUGUAUCUUUUCUUCUUAUCCUAUUUGUGAUGCUAGCGUUGAACCUUAUGAACAUUUUCCCUCUAUCAGCUGACACAAUAUGGAUAUGCAGCUUUGUCAGCAGAGGAUACUACCAUGAAAUUCGAGGGAUGUUAAAAAAAAAAAAGGACUUCUUUUUCUGGUCCUAAUGUGCUCUUCCCUGAUUGCUCCUGUGAUAGUGUGGCAGCCAGAAGAUUGCAGGAUGCCCAUUGAUGCCAUACUCUUUAAACUCUCUGAACUUUCUGGAAGGUUCUGUCAACAGGGCCAGCCUCAUGAAAACUCUAGUGCAGUUACAAAGGACUUCACUCUGAGAACUGGCCAUGUGCUUCAUGUAAUACUUUGUUAAUACUGUCUUGAAAUUCUUAAUAAUUUUUUUGACUUUGUAUUUAUGCUUUGUAAGUAAAGCCCAAUGGAACAGUGGAACAUGUAUGAGCAGAGGAGAUAACCAGAUGAUAGUGCACACACAGGCUCAGGUCUGCAUGCACAUCAGACAAUGGGUAGUAUAAGUAUACCUUGUACACAUAGGAAUUUAUAGAGUAGUCAGAGAUCCUGAACACCUCAAACGAGUGGCCUGGGCUGGGAUAGUAGCAACAAGAGAAGCAGCAAUGGUGGCAGCCACGGUCUGGAAAAGCAAAGAGACUCCCCAUGGAUGCAAUACUAGAGAUAAGAGCAUUGAAACUGUGGUAGAGAUCAGCUUGCUCUCCAUAUCCAGAGCGUGUGCCUGUGACCUCAGCACAAAUACUAACCUGAGCAUCAGAACAGGAAAGGGUGGUAAACAUUUUUAGUAAAUAAAACAUAAACAUCACAAAGCAUUUUGGACAAUUGUUAGAAUUUUUUAAAGAGUUUAUAAUCCUUGGUUUUUAAAAGAUUGGAAAGUAAAUAUAGGCUUAAAGUAGAAAUUAAACUCAAAGAUCAUUGCAUUCAGUGGAAAAAAAAAUAGUAUUAUUAUAUGUACUUUCCAAAGAACCAAUUACUAACAAGAAGGACAAUUUUUAAAUAAGUGUUUUCUGAUUAUUGAAAAUAUAGUAGUAGAAUACAUGGCAGGCAUUUUGAAUCAUACAUAAAUCAAGAAGUCAUUUUAGUUUCUUGUACAAACGCCACAAAUUACAGGAAAUGUCAGAAAAAGCAUUAACAUGCCAUUUAUAAAUUUACAUUUAAAAUUAAAUUAAGACCAACAAAAUUAUUUAUAUAAAGAGUUAAAUCUUUUUAGAAAAAAGAUUCAGAAACACACUCUAGAUGUACUAAAAUUUAUAUUUCAAAAUAAUUUGUCAGGAAUUUAUCCCAAUGUUGUCACAGUCUAUAUACUACUAAAAGCUCCUUUAACAGUUGUAUAUGCAGAAAGAUCCUUCUUAAAAAUAAAAAUUAUUUAUGAUUUUA